rnacentral:lncRNA from 1 species
UUUAUAUUAAGAAGAGCCUAUUAAAUAUAUUCUUAAGCCUCCUUGCUGUUGCUUAACUUCACUGAGACCUAGAAACAAUGCAACUGAAGUGACAAAAUCACCUUGACAUCUACAAUCAAAGGGAACAAGCAACUGUAGGGAAAGUAGGAAGUCCAACAAUUUCUUCUUCAUAGACCGUUUUGCCUAAACUUCCUGAGGAAAGAAGAGCUAGAAGACAUAGACAAGGAUGAGAAGAGCUAUUCUUAGGGGAGAGCCAGAUUUCAGGUAAGGAGAUAGAGGUAGUUCAUUUGGCAGAUGAUUCAGAGAGCAGGAAGAGCGAAGCGUGAAGAAAGUGAAAGCACAGUAGAGAAUAAAAAGCUAGUGAAGCUUGCGUUUUGAAUGACAGGCAAAGCAGAGGGGAUCGGGAGAGAAAUUUAGUGGACUGUUCUGAAGAAAGCCUUCUGAAGAGAACUUUGGUA